UACAGAGGGUGCGAGCGUUAAUCGGAAUUACUGGGCGUAAAGCGCGCGUAGGCGGUUUUGCAAGUCGGGUGUGAAAUCCCCAGGCUUAACCUGGGAACUGCAUUCGAGACUGCAUUACUAGAGUAUGGGAGAGGGAAGUGGAAUUUCCGGUGUAGCGGUGAAAUGCGUAGAUAUCGGAAGGAACAUCAGUGGCGAAAGCGACUUCCUGGACCAAUACUGACGCUCAUGUGAGAAAGCGUGGGGAGCAAAC
rnacentral:rRNA from 1 species